GUGCCAGCAGCCGCGGUAAUACGUAGGUGGCAAGCGUUGUCCGGAUUUAUUGGGCGUAAAGCGAGCGCAGGCGGUUUCUUAAGUCUGAUGUGAAAGCCCCCGGCUCAACCGGGGAGGGUCAUUGUAAACUGGGAGACUUGAGUGCAGGAGAGAGAGUGGAAUUCCAUGUGUAGCGGUGAAAUGCGUAGAUAUAUGGAGGAACACCAUGGCGAAGGCGGCUCUCUGGUCUGUAACUGACGCUGAGGCUCGAAAGCGUGUGGGAGCAAACAGGAUUAGAUACCCUGUAGUUC
rnacentral:rRNA from 1 species